rnacentral:lncRNA from 1 species
UGCGAAAUAAUUGUGCAGAAGUACUUCUGAUGAGACGGUUGCUAAGGACUCUUCUAGGACUCAGUGUUUUCUGGAACUUGUAGGUCCUUUAAGUCCCCUGCUCAGUCUGCACUAGGUUUACACAUGUUCAUCAAGGCGGGUUUUCUAUCAGUUCACCCAAUUGAGGGAACCUGGCCUGGUAUUUUAAUUGGUGGCCCUAGGUGACCCUUCCCAAGUGGAAGUCAUAUUCCUCUGGUGUCGGGUCACCGUGCUGACCAGGCAUCCCCCGAGUGACUAGAUGAGCAGCCAUGUCAACAGAUCUUAGCAAAUCGGACAGUGGGCCAAGCUCUGGGUCCCAAGCUGGGGACAUAAAGUCCCAAAGGAAUUAUAGAGAUCAAAAAUAGCCCAGAAGAGUGUGUUCCAAGUGCCAGAGGUGGCCCAGCAAUUCAGAGCUGGGGACAGGCCAAUCCAGAGGAAAGUGCAGCAGACAGUUAGAGGUGGGGGCAGAAGAAAGGAGAAGGCUGGCUGGGGUACAGGUCGUGGUUGGCUGGUUUCUAGCAGGGAGACUUCCGGCUGGCCCAAGGGCAGGUGUUUGGGGCACUUGUCUUUCUUCACAGGAAUGUGCCCUGAAAUGGGUACCCAGAGCCACAGGCUCAUUAGCAUUUGUCACAAGUCAUGCCCUUUAAUUAGAGACAGGAUCUUGAGGCGGGGUGGGGGAGAUUUUGAGGUUCUCAGAGCUUCUCACAGGCCUAGAACAAGGCCCUGGGCACAUCCCCAGGCCCCACACCGAUGGUGAGCAGUACAGUCCACCCACCUGUCCUGAGACGGCACUCAAUCCCCUCCUGGGCAAGGACCCUCAGAAGUGAGCUCCAGGCCCAAUUCCCUGGCCCACAGGCUCAGGCCUCAUGGUCUUAUGUAGAGGGCAGCUCUAACAAGCCGAAGCCUGAGCCUCCCUGGAGUAAAUGAGGCUGAGCCCUGAGUCCAGAAGUAACUAAGGGGCCCCACCUGCACCCUCUACCUCCAUGUGGGGCUGCCAAGGAACCAGCAGAAACAGAUGAGUCCAGGAGAAACAAAUGAGCGGUUUCCAGAGAGAGAG